rnacentral:tRNA from 1 species
GCAUCCAUGGCUGAGUGGUUAAAGCACCCAACUCAUAAUUGGAGACUUCGCAGGUUCAAAUCCUGCUGGAUGCA